UACGUAGGGUGCGAGCGUUAAUCGGAAUUACUGGGCGUAAAGCGUGCGCAGGCGGUUUUGUAAGCCGGAUGUGAAAUCCCCGGGCUUAACCUGGGAAUGGCAUUCGGGACUGCAAGGCUGGAGUGCGGCAGAGGAGACUGGAAUUCCUGGUGUAGCAGUGAAAUGCGUAGAUAUCAGGAGGAACACCGGUGGCGAAGGCGGGUCUCUGGGCCGAAAUUGACGCUGAGGAGCGAAAGCGUGGGGAGCAAACAGG
rnacentral:rRNA from 1 species